rnacentral:tRNA from 1 species
GCUCCUGUCGUCUAGCCUGGUUCGACUUGUUCAUGAAUUAAAAAAUAUUUUGAACAAGAGAUGGUAAAUAGGAUGCAAGCUUGCGGAGCUUGAAACCGGGGUUCAAAUCCUCGCAGGGGCA